rnacentral:lncRNA from 1 species
GNNNNGGUAGGGCGGAGACAGGGGCAGGUCCAGUCCCCAGGGGCCAGAGGCAGGGCUUACGUAAGGGGGCACAGCUCUGGGGUAAACAGGGCCCGGAGAGGGUGGGCCUCCCGAGUAGGAUCCAGACUUCUGCCCUGCAGGACCGGAAGCCCCCCCCUCAAGUGCAAGGCUCCCACCCUCCUGGGCUGAGAGCCCUGUGGAUGAGGAACCAGACCUUCCCCUCCCACACGGGGACACACACACACACACACACACACACACACACACCCCAAGUGCAGAGAAAAGAGGUGGGGUCCCUCUGGCCAAGCCCAGUCAGGGAUGGAGUGAGUUGGGGAUUACAGGUCAGGUGUCCCAGGGCCUAGACCAGUCAUGCAGAAAGCAGAACCCGCCCUCUCCCAGAGGACAGGGCGUUUGGGCCCUGGCAAGCUCUGGUUCCUGUCUCCACCACGUGUGGCCCCCAGGACCGGUGACCCGGGGCGGUCCAGCAUGCCUGACAGAGGCCCUCGUGUGUGCAGGGUAAGGGGCAGCCCAGGGCAGGUGGCAUCUAUGCAAGACAACAUCUAUGCGUCCCCCUGGCGCCCAGGACACGGGACCUGACCCAACCGGAAACAGCUUCCCCUCGGGCGCCAAGGGCAGCUGAGUGAGGAUGCAGGCAGAAUUUGUGGCAGUGGUCCUGGGGGGAUGCUCCCAGGAGAAGGGGAUCAGCCGUGGCCUCCUUCUCCCCUUCCUGAAGCCCAUUCCAGCGUCUGCUCUCCCCCUUCUCAGGAUGGCAUAAGCAGGACGGAGGAUCCCCCCCCCCCCAACUGCUGGGGCCCCAGAGGGAGCCUGCGUCUCUCGGCUCCGGCAGCCGGAAUGAAGGCUGCGCUAGCUGUUACUCAGAUCUGCAGUCUGUGCCAGGAGCUGGGCCUGAAGGAAGGAAGGUCCUUGCAGGUUACCUCGGCUUUUUGGUCCAUCAGGUUCUAAGAGGUACUGAUAGGCUAUUUUGCCCAUCAGGACCCAAUACCCUUCCCUGCCUCCCAACUUGGAGCCGACCUCGGGCCCUCCCAGCUGAGCCCAAAAGGGGACUAGGCGUGCAGGCUGCAUUAAAGGGCUGAUUGGAGACACUAAGAACUGAUUGCCUUUCUGAAGAGCCACUUUACCCUGGAACAAAUAGGGAGAUGAGAUUCUUCAAACUGUGCUCUCAAGUGAACCACUUCUCGGAAAUCAGACGCUGAUCAAAGAUCUCAAGUUCUGCUUUACAUAAAAGACCCAGACGUGUUAAUACACGCUGUCAGUUCCCUGAGAUUUGGAAAUGCAGGGGUUUUACGGAUUUUUUUUUUUUAUUUUGGCUGUGUCUGCCAGCAUGUAGAAAUUCCCAGGCCAGGGAUGGAACUCACGCCACCGCAGAGACCCACGCCACGGCAGUGACGACUCUGGAUCCUUCAUCCACUGAGCCACCGGGGGACGCCAGGAAAUACAGCUGUAACCAAAACAAGAAGUGCAUAAACCCUGCCUCCAAACACUCUCUUCCUUUAUUAAUCUUGUAAGUAUGGUGGAUUCACAGGGGUGUGCCGAAGUCUAUGGUACCGCAGGGUGACGUGGUUACACAUAUAGGUAUAUUUCUUUCUCAUAUCAUCUUCCAUCCUGGUCUAUCCCAAGAGGCUGGAUGGAGUUCCCCGUGCUGGACAGCGGGACCUCACUGCUUAUCCAUUCUCAAGGGCAAAGUUUGCAUCUACGAACCCCAAACUCCCCGUCCAGUCCACUCCUUCUCCCUUGGCAACCCCACAUCUGUUCUGUCUUUCGCUGAGUCUAACAUCUGUUCUGCAGACAGCUUCACCUGCGGCAUAUUUUAGAUUCCACGUAAAAGGAAUAUCCUAUGGGAUUUAUCUUUCUCUGACUGGCUUCCUUUAGUGCGGCACAACCCUACAAAGCAACACUCACUAAAAAACUUGUUCAGCAAAACUCUCCAUUGUCAUGGCAAGCAGCUUUCAAUUGGCAACCUGCUACCGGGUCAAAGAGUUUUCAGUUUCAUCCCGUCUCUUAAAAAACCUUCUGCAAGGAAGGAAAUUGUAAAGAUCAAAGAAGAAAUCAAUAAAAUAGAGACUCAAAAAACA